rnacentral:lncRNA from 1 species
GUUUAAUGCUUUUGCUACUCAUUACAAUAAUUUUGCUCCUGAGGAUUGGAAGAUUGUGAGCCAUGCUCUUUUACAGGAACCUAAAUAUCUUCAAUGGCACAUGUGGUUUUUAGAAGGAUGUGCCACUAAGGAUAGAGAAAAUGGUAACAGUCAAAACCCUGUUAUUCGUGCCAUAGGAUACCCUAUGUUAUCUGGCACUGGUAUGUAUGAUGACAUUCAACAUAAAAUUAAUAUUCCUCCUGAGAUUCAUGAGCAAUUGAAGGAAAUAGCUUUAGAAGUUUGGGACAAAAUUAGACCUUGUUAUUGCUCCAGUACAUAGGAAUUAUGUAAAGUGUUAAAGCAACUGUAUAUGUUUAAAUUGUGUGUGUUAAAGAUUAAAAAAAAAAAGAUAAUAGUUAUUUUUCCUAAAUGAAAUAACAUUCUUCUCUCCACCAAAUUUUUUUCUAAAGUUAAUGGCAUUUGGGUCAAGGUUUUAUUAAAAGCUACAUUUUAUAACACUGGCACAAAAAAAGUAGUUUUAAGCUUGUUUGCACAGUUCUUUUUUUCCAUUGGAAAUGGAAUUCAUUGCCUUAGUUCUUUUUAAAUAGUGUAUUAUCGUUGGGGCUAACUCUAUGCUUAAAAACCAGUUUAUUUAUAACCUGUUGUAAGUGCUAUAUUCUGUUUACAGUUAGGAAAUGCAAAAUUUUAAGUGAUCUCGUAGCUUGUAAGCAAACUGAGAUGCACUAUCCCUUUUCUAUAUAAAAAUAAGUUAAUAUAUCAAUAAAUCAACUCAACAAGGUGGGUUUAAUAUUACCCUUUCCUAUGUGUUUUAUCUAAUUCUUUUAAUUGUUAAUAUGGUGAUAAAUGAAAGUCAAGGUAAAUUUUAAAUAUUAAGAUUUCCAAUUUAUUGAACUUGAAUUAUGCCACCAUGCUUAUGUAAAAAUGAAGGUGGCACCAUGGUAAAACUUAAUGAGAAGUAAUUUCUCAGUUGUAAUAAUUUUGAUUUCUCUUUCUUGUGAUCUCUCCUUCCCUGUUGUCUUGAACC